UGCUGCUCCUGCCGCCCAGGGGGGAAACAUGGCGUCUGCCCUGGAGCAAUUCGUGAACAGUGUCCGACAGCUCUCGGAUCAAGGGCAAAUGACUCAGCUUUGUGAACUGAUCAACAAGAGUGGGGAACUCCUUGCAAAGAACUUAUCCCAUCUGGACACUGUGCUCGGGGCUCUGGAUGUACAAGAGCACUCCUUAGGCGUCCUUGCUGUUUUAUUUGUGAAGUUUUCCAUGCCUAGUGUUCCUGACUUCGAAACGUUAUUCUCACAGGUUCAGCUUUUCAUCAGCACUUGUAACGGGGAGCACAUCUGAUACGCAACAGACACUUUUGCUGGGCUUUGCCAUCAGCUGACAAACGCACUUGUGGAAAGGAAACAGCCUCUCUGAGGAAUUGGCAUCCUAAAGCAAGCCAUAGACAAGAUGCAGAUGAAUACAAACCAGCUGACCUCAAUACACGCAGAUCUCUGCCAGCUUUGUUUGCUGGCAAAAUGCUUUAAGCCUGCCCUUCCAUACCUUGAUGUGGACAUGAUGGAUAUCUGUAAAGAGAAUGGAGCCUAUGAUGCAAAGCACUUUUUAUGUUACUAUUAUUAUGGAGGGAUGAUCUAUACCGGGCUGAAGAACUUCGAAAGAGCACUGUACUUUUAUGAACAGGCUGUAACUACUCCUGCCAUGGCGGUCAGUCACAUCAUGUUGGAAUCCUAUAAAAAGUAUAUUCUAGUUUCUUUGAUAUUACUUGGAAAAGUACAACAGCUACCGAAAUAUAUGUCUCAAAUUGUGGGUAGAUUCAUUAAGCCUCUUAGCAAUGUGUACCAUGAGUUAGCACAAGUCUAUUCAACCAAUAAUCCCUCAGAACUCCGCAACCUGGUGAACAAGCACAGUGAGACUUUUACUCGUGAUAACAACCCGGGGCUGGUGAAGCAAUGCCUGUCUUCUCUUUAUAAGAAGAAUAUUCAAAGGCUAACCAAGACCUUUUUAACAUUAUCAUUACAAGAUAUGGCAAGUCGUGUGCAGUUAUCUGGACCUCAGGAGGCAGAGAAAUAUGUCUUACACAUGAUAGAGGAUGGUGAAAUUUUUGCAAGUAUUAAUCAGAAGGACGGUAUGGUCAGUUUCCAUGAUAACCCUGAAAAAUUUAAUAAUCCAGCCAUGCUUCAUAACAUCGACCAGGAGAUGCUGAAGUGCAUAGAGCUGGAUGAGCGACUGAAGGCCAUGGACCAGGGGAUCACAGUGAACCCCCAGUUUGUACAAAAGAGCAUGGGAUCACAAGAAGAUGAUUCUGGAAACAAACCAUCUAGUUACUCUUGAAACUAACAUCCAUCCUGAGUUAGAUGAGAGAAAUUUAUCACCUUGGCCAGUGGCAAGUGUUAGGAGGGCAGCAGGGAAGACCAAGCCUGUUUGACCUGGACAUUGAGAGAUUACAUUUUGUUUUGACAUCUUCAGUCCUAUGUGCUUUAAGAAAACCAUUCUCUCUGCCAAGAAAGGAAAAAAAAAAAAUUCAAACUUUAAAGUCUGUUUUGGAUUUAUUUAUCCUCAGAUUAAUGUUGUUAUUGCAUUAAAUCUACCUUUUUGUUUAAAAAAAAAUGAAACUAAGUUUCAUGAUCAGCUGUAUCCUAUAAAUAAGUGGUAGAGCCAGGGUGGGUAUUCUCAAAACCACAAAAUCAUAGUGGUCCCAACUAU